GCCCCCGUGGCGGAAUCGGUAGACGCGGCAGACUCAAAAUCUGUUUUUCGCAAGAAAUUGUUCGUUCGAGUCGAACCGGGGGUA
rnacentral:tRNA from 1 species